GGAGUCAUCAGGAGAGAGCCAGAAUGUGUUGAAAGAUCUCUGGAGUCUAAGAAAGAUGAGUCAGUGGGCAGAACCACAACCAGUGGAUAUAUCUCUUCUCCAGAUGAGCCAACAGCCUCGAGGAGAACAAGAACCUGGAGCGGAGGAGUUAACAGUGCAACCAGAACUUGAUCACUCAUGAGUUCCCGAGAAAAUUGGAAUGUCCAGCGCCCUCAGAAACACAAGCACAAGAGAGAUUUCAGGGAUACUGUGGAAGAGACACGUCAGGCAUUUCUACAGCU